rnacentral:rRNA from 1 species
CUAUCGGUGUCGGAUUAUGCCAUGCGAGUCGAGAGGUGUAGACCUCGGCAGACUGCUCAGUAACACGUGGAUAACCUGCCCAAGGGUCCGGGAUAACCCCGGGAAACUGGGGAUAAUACCUAAUGGGUCACCAUUGCUGGAAUGCUUGGUGGUCAAAAGGUGACGCCUUUGGAUGGGUCUGCGGCGGAUUAGGUUAACCCCGGUGUAACGUACCGGCGUGCCUGUAAUCCUUACCGGUUGUGGGAGCAAGAGCCCGAAGAUGGAUUCUGAUACUGAAUCCCGGCCCUACGGGGCGCAGGGGGCGCGAAAACUCUAAAUGCAGGCAACUGCGAUAGGGGGACAUCGAGUGGCAUCCACCUUGGGUGUCUGUCCAACCGUCUAAAAAAUGUUUGUUAGC